rnacentral:lncRNA from 1 species
UCGCAUUAGGGUUUCAUCUUCUCUAAUACGCUUCUGCAUCUAGAUCUCAAAUCGAUGACAAGAUUUCAUCUUCUUCCCUAAGAUUCAUCGGUUUUCAUCUCUCAAUUUAGGGUUUCGACUAUAUAUUUCUUAUAAUCCGAAGAACACACAACCUUCAUUCGCAUCUAGGGUUUCUGUUUCUUCCAUCAUACACCUCCUUCUCAUCAUCCCUAAAUCUCAUUCCUGAAAGAUCAUCAAUACCAAGAUAGUCAAUUUCUUUCAUCACAGAUAGUCAAGAAGGUUUAUGGAGAUGAAGAUUGUUCGAUUUCUGGGUUCCAUCACAGGUAAAUCCCGUGGGAGGUUAAUCUACACCAUUCAGUCCUUUUUUUUGGAAUCAAACACGAAAAUAAUGGAUUGGAGAUAAAGGAUCCAGCUACAAAAGAAAGCUAGAAAAGCUGAUAUAAGGAUGGCUGAAUUUGAAAAUGUAAUGGAGUUGAAGGUCAUGAACGAUGAUGGAUUCGUGAUGAAUAUGCAUAUUGGGGCUGAACAUUCAGAGGGUUACAAGAGUGUCUCUCAUAGGCUUGACAUCGAUUACAGCUCCUUGAAAGCCCUAAGUCACACAUUUCAAUAAGUACAAGAUUGGAAGUUCAACAGUUCUUUUGUUUUUUUGUGUUCAAAGUUCAAAUACGGUUUGCAAGAGGGAGGAUGUUGUAUGCAAAUCGUAAGUAGAGGGUGGUUCAGGGGUUGGAAUAGGAAACUUUGGUGAGGUGGGACCAUUGGAUUAGCUUCUUUUGAUACAUCAAAGGUAUAUCGUUAAUUAGUUCCCCGUCACCUAUUUCCUUUGCUCGAUAGCGGGGAUUACAGAUUUCAACUGAGUCAAGUUUAUAUUAGCGAAAAAAGGUGCAUUAGGGACGAUAUGGAUCGCGCGCAUCUGGAUAGCUGCAUAAUUGGUGGCAAUUCAAUGCUAGAAGAUGCUAACAUUAAGGAUAUGAAGGAUGUGGAAGGUUUGAUCCGUCUCCCAGUCAAAGAUAACAACAGUCCACCAACCCAGAAAACAAAUUGAUGUGAUGUCUGUUGAAACUAAAGCUCUUCUUGACCCGCUUAACGGUUUGCCCAAGUAAGAAUAAAUUUUAUAUUUAAUCUGUUAACUAAAUGGAAUUUUUUGGGUGCGAAUUGACACGCAUAUUUAGUAUAAUGUGCCCAAACAUGUU